ACUCCUACGGGAGGCAGCAGUGGGGAAUAUUGCACAAUGGGCGCAAGCCUGAUGCAGCCAUGCCGCGUGUAUGAAGAAGGCCUUCGGGUUGUAAAGUACUUUCAGCGGGGAGGAAGGCGAUAAGGUUAAUAACCUUGUCGAUUGACGUUACCCGCAGAAGAAGCACCGGCUAACUCCGUGCCAGCAGCCGCGGUAAU
rnacentral:rRNA from 2 species